GUGCUCAUUUCAGGAAUACACAUGCUAAAAUUGGAGUAAAACAGGGAUUUGGCAUGACUUCUUUGCAAGAAUGAUACUCAAAUUCAUGAAGUAUUCCAUAUUUUU